UUGUUUGCGUUGAAGAGAAGAGUAAAUCAAUGAUGAACCUUAACAGAGAGCUUCGGGAGCUGAAAAGAAGCAGGGGGAAAGUUGGUUGAAGAUGAUCUCUGAGCAUUCCAUUCGAACCUAGCGGUGUAGGGUGGAACGGGUUUUGUCAUCCGUUAUCAAUGUCACAGUAUAAGAAUGUUCUUUUUCUGCAUUCCGUACUUGUUGAGGCUGUUGGCGUGAGCCCUCAGUGAACUAAGGUGGUACCGCGAGCUGAACCCCUCGUCCUUAGA
rnacentral:ncRNA from 1 species